AUUAAAUUAGCAUAUACAAUGCCUUAAAUUUAGAAUUUAAUUAAGUAAAAUGAAAUACAUUUAAUA
rnacentral:tRNA from 1 species